rnacentral:misc_RNA from 1 species
GAUGAAUAACGUAGCGAAAUGCGAUAAGUAAUGUGAAUUGCAGAAUUCAGUGAAUCAUCGAAUCUUUGAACGCACAUUGCGCCCGGCAGUACUCUGCCGGGCAUGCCUGUUCGAGCGUCAUUUCAACCCUCAAGCCCUGCUUGGUGUUGGGGUCCCACGGCCGCCGUGGGCCCUGAAAGGAAGUGGCGGGCUCGCUACAACUCCGAGCGUAGUAAUUCAUUAUCUCGCUUAGGGCGUUGGGCGGCGCUCCUGCCGUUAAAGAACCAUCUUUAACUCAAGGUUGACCUCGGAUCAGGUAGGAAUACCCGCUGAACUUAAGCAUAUCAAUAAGCGGAGGA